UGGGGAAUAUUGCACAAUGGACGGAAGUUUGAUGCAGCGACGCCGCGUGGAGGGUGUAGGCCUUCGGGUUGUGAACUCCUUUUUCUCGCGAAAAAGGCACAGUUUUGGCUGUGUCGAUGGUAGUGGGGGAAGAAGCGCCGGCUAACUACGUGCCAGCAGCCGCGGUAAUACGUAGGGCGCGAGCGUUGUCCGGAUUUAUUGGGCGUAAAGAGCUCGUAGGUGGUUCGUCGCGUCUGUCGUGAAAGCCAGCAGCUUAACUGUUGGUCUGCGGUGGGUACGGGCGGGCUUGAGUGCGGUAGGGGUGGCUGGAAUUCCUGGUGUAGCGGUGGAAUGCGCAGAUAUCAGGAGGAACACCGAUGGCGAAGGCAGGUCACUGGGCCGUUACUGACACUGAGGAGCGAAAGCGUGGGGAGCGAACAGG
rnacentral:rRNA from 1 species